UGGGGAAUUUUGGACAAUGGGCGAAAGCCUGAUCCAGCAAUGCCGCGUGUGUGAAGAAGGCCUUCGGGUUGUAAAGCACUUUUGUCCGGAAAGAAAUCCUUGGCUCUAAUACAGUCGGGGGAUGACGGUACCGGAAGAAUAAGCACCGGCUAACUACGUGCCAGCAGCCGCGGUAAUACGUAGGGUGCAAGCGUUAAUCGGAAUUACUGGGCGUAAAGCGUGCGCAGGCGGUUUGCUAAGACCGAUGUGAAAUCCCCGGGCUCAACCUGGGAACUGCAUUGGUGACUGGCAGGCUAGAGUAUGGCAGAGGGGGGUAGAAUUCCACGUGUAGCAGUGAAAUGCGUAGAGAUGUGGAGGAAUACCGAUGGCGAAGGCAGCCCCCUGGGCCAACACUGACGCUCAUGCACGAAAGCGUGGGGGAGCAAAACAGGAUUAGAUACCCUGGUAGUCCACGCCCUAAACGAUGUCAACUAGUUGUUGGGGAUUCAUUUCCUUAGUAACGUAGCUAACGCGUGAAGUUGACCGCCUGGGGAGUACGGUCGCAAGAUUAAAACUCAAAGGAAUUGACGGGGUCAUAGCUG
rnacentral:rRNA from 1 species